rnacentral:rRNA from 1 species
UCACUUUUGACCUCGGAUCAGGUAGGGAUACCCGCUGAACUUAAGCAUAUCAAUAAG